AACUUUUGACAAUGGGCGCAAGCCUGAUCCAGCCAUGCCGCGCGAGUGAAGAAGGCCUUCGGGUUGUAAAGCUCUUUCUGUCGGAAAGAAAUCGUGCAGGCUAAUACCCUGCGCGUAUGACUGUACCGUCAUAAGAAGCACCGGCUAACUACGCGCCAGCACCCGAGGUAACACGUAGCGUGCGCGCGUUAAUCGGAAUUACGGGGCGUAAAGCGUACGCAGGCGGUUGAUUAAGACAGGCGUGAAAUCCACAGGCUUAACCUGGGAACUGCGCUUGUGACUGGUCAGCUAGAGUACGGCAGAGGGGGGUGGAAUUCCACGUGUAGCAGUGAAAUGCGUAGAGAUGUGGAGGAACAACGAUGGCGAAGGCAGCCCCCUGGGCCGAUACUGACGCUCAUGCACGAAAGCGUGAGUAGCAAACAGG
rnacentral:rRNA from 1 species